GAGGGUAUAGCUCAGUGGUAGAGCAUGUGCUUAGCAUAGACAAGAUCCUAGGUUCAAUCCCCAGUACCUCCA
rnacentral:tRNA from 1 species